rnacentral:tRNA from 30 species
GCGGAUGUGGUGGAAUGGUAGACACGCACGCUUGAGGGGCGUGUGGCGAAAGCCAUGCGAGUUCGAGUCUCGCCAUCCGCA